rnacentral:rRNA from 1 species
CCCUUAGACGUUCUGGGCCGCACGCGCGCUACACUGACCAGUGCAACAAGCAUCCGUCCUUGGCCGACAGGCCCGGGCAAUCUUUGAACGCUGGUCGUGAUGGGGAUAGACUUUUGCAAUUUUUGGUCUUCAACGAGGAAUUCCUAGUAAACGCAAGUCAUCAACUUGCAUUGAUUACGUCCCUGCCCUUUGUACACACCGCCCGUCGCACCUACCGAUUGAAUGGUCCGGUGAAGCCUCCGGAUUGGCGCGCACCUCGGUGCCGCCGAGAAGUUGGCUAAACCUUACCAUUUAGAGGAAGGUGANGUCGUAACA